rnacentral:rRNA from 1 species
AACGAACGCUGGCGGCAUGCCUAACACAUGCAAGUCGAACGAAGCCUUCGGGCUUAGUGGCGCACGGGUGCGUAACGCGUGGGAAUCUGCCCUCAGGUACGGAAUAACUCAGGGAAACUUGAGCUAAUACCGUAUAAUGACUUCGGUCCAAAGAUUUAUCGCCUGGGGAUGAGCCCGCGUCGGAUUAGCUAGUUGGUGAGGUAAAAGCUCACCAAGGCGACGAUCCGUAGCUGGUCUGAGAGGAUGAUCAGCCACACUGGGACUGAGACACGGCCCAGACUCCUACGGGAGGCAGCAGUGGGGAAUAUUGGACAAUGGGCGCAAGCCUGAUCCAGCAAUGCCGCGUGAGUGAUGAAGGCCUUAGGGUUGUAAAGCUCUUUUACCCGGGAAGAUAAUGACUGUACCGGGAGAAUAAGCCCCGGCUAACUCCGUGCCAGCAGCCGCGGUAAUACGGAGGGGGCUAGCGUUGUUCGGAAUUACUGGGCGUAAAGCGCACGU